UUUGGGGAAGAGGAGGUGGCGGUGGCAGUGGCAGCCGUUCCCUCACGCUGGGUGGGUCAGACAGUGGCGGUGGUGGUAGUCGUUCCCUAACACUUUGUGGAACAGACAGAGGCGGUGGCGGAGGCAGUUGUUCCCUUGCACUGGGUGGGUUAGACAGAGGCGGCGGUGGCAGUCGUUCCCUUACAGUGCGUGGGUUAGACGGAGGCAGUGGUGGGGGUGGCGG
rnacentral:misc_RNA from 1 species